rnacentral:rRNA from 1 species
UACGUAGGGGGCAAGCGUUGUCCGGAUUUAUUGGGCGUAAAGAGCGUGUAGGCGGCCAUGCAGGUCAGCUGUGAAAACUCGAGGCUCAACCUCGAGACGUCGGUUGAAACCGUAUGGCUAGAGUCCGGAAGAGGAGAGUGGAAUUCCCGGUGUAGCGGUGAAAUGCGCAGAUAUCGGGAAGAACACCCGUGGCGAAGGCGGUGGUCUGGGCCGGUACUGACGCUGAGGAGCGAAAGCGUGGGGAGCGAACAGG